rnacentral:rRNA from 1 species
UCUGACUNGAGUGCAGAAGGGGAGAGUGGAAUUCCAUGUGUAGCGGUGAAAUGCGUAGAUAUAUGGAGGAACACCAGUGGCGAAAGCGGCUCUCUGGUCUGUCACUGACGCUGAGGCUCGAAAGCGUGGGUAGCGAACAGGAUUAGAUACCCUGGUAGUCCACGCCGUAAACGAUGAGUGCUAGGUGUUAGGCCCUUUCCGGGGCUUAGUGCCGGAGCUAACGCAAUAAGCACUCCGCCUGGGGAGUACGACCGCAAGGUUGAAACUCAAAGGAAUUGACGGGGGCCCGCACAAGCGGUGGAGCAUGUGGUUUAAUUCGAAGCAACGCGAAGAACCUUACCAGGUCUUGACAUCCCGAUGCUAUUCUUAGAGAUAGGAAGUUACUUCGGUACAUCGGAGACAGGUGGUGCAUGGUUGUCGUCAGCUCGUGUCGUGAGAUGUUGGGUUAAGUCCCGCAACGAGCGCAACCCUUAUUGUUAGUUGCCAUCAUUAAGUUGGGCACUCUAGCGAGACUGCCGGUAAUAAACCGGAGGAAGGUGGGGAUGACGUCAAAUCAUCAUGCCCCUUAUGACCUGGGCUACACACGUGCUACAAUGGUCGGUACAACGAGUUGCGAGCCGGUGACGGCAAGCUAAUCUCUGAAAGCCGAUCUCAGUUCGGAUUGGAGGCUGCAACUCGCCUCCAUGAAGUCGGAAUCGCUAGUAAUCGCGGAUCAGCACGCCGCGGUGAAUACGUUCCCGGGCCUUGUACACACCGCCCGUCACACCACGAGAGUUUGUAACACCCGAAGUCGGUGAGGUAACCUUUUAGGGGC